CACUCUUGGGGGUAGAGCACUGUUUGGGCUAGGGGGUCAUCCCGACUUACCAACCCCAUGCAAACUCCGAAUACCGGUGAGUGCAAUCGAGGCAGACAGACGGCGGGUGCUAACGUCCGUCGUGAAAAGGGAAACAACCCAGACCGUCAGCUAAGGUCCCAAAGUUAUGGUUAAGUGGGAAACGAUGUGGGA
rnacentral:rRNA from 1 species